rnacentral:lncRNA from 1 species
CAUUAAAAAUGCAAAUGAUUUUUUAAUAGUGAGUUUGUUUGUAUCGGGACAUGUAAGACCCAUAGAUUGCAUUUGAUUGAUAUUUCCUUUAAGUUCAUAGGUUUCCCUCCCCACCCCUUGCAAUUAUUGUUGAAGAAAUUGGGCAGUUUAUCUUGGAUCUUGCUGAUUGCAUUCCCAUAAUGUCAUUUUACACAUUCCUCUGUCCCCUGUAUUUCCUGCAAACUGGUAGAUCUAGAGCCUUCUUGAGAUUCAGGUUUGGUUUUUCUUGUUUGCCAGGAGUACUUCACAGGUGGUGCUGUGUCAGGAGUCACAUGGAAUCAUUUUGUGGUGUGAGCAGCCGUCGAUGAUCAUGCCCAGAUCCAUUAAUUCAUUAGCAAGGUAGCUGUGGUUCGGGGAGAUGGAGUGCCCUGUUCUGGGUCACACAGCUAGCUGGUGGAAGAGCCGACAAUGGAGUCCAGGCCUGCCUGAGUCAAAGUGAAGACGUAUUCUUCCUGUGGUUUCGGUAUCCAACAGACUUUGGGACAGGAUAUUCAUUAGGGCAGCGCAUUACGGCAUAUUUUAUUACCUUAAAUUUGGAGACAGUUAGCCCCUCUGCUGGGAGUCCUUUCCCUGUAUCCCACAUGGCAAUGUCCUGCCCAUCCUUCAGACACCAGCUCAAGCCCCAUAUCUCUCAGCUCUCCUGCCAUAUUCCUACAGUCCACUGUUUCUCCUACCAUCCAUCUGCCCUGAAUCUGAGCUAUGUGUGCACCCCUCCCCCUCAGUAGCAGAGAUGGAGUGCUCUCAAGAGCAGACUCCAUGCCAGACUCAUCCUUGUAUUUCCCUGUAUGACCCUCAGUGCCCAACACCAUGCCAGGCACACAGUGGUCACUUAGUCGCUUUGAAUUGUUGCAGAAUGUGUAGGCUAAUCCUUCAAGUUUGAAGGCGAGGGUUAAUCCGCUCAUCUCUUCUUCCCACCCUCAGACAUGUUCAUCCAGGGGACAGAGACACAAAUUCUGUUGCAAGUUGGCACAGCUAAGAUGAAUAGCUGAGUAGAGACGUGGCACCUGCAACAAAGUUUAAGGAAAAAAAGAGUUAACAGACAAGGAGGCUGCUGACGGCUGUGGCCUCUAAAGUGGGUUGCACCUGAUGAUUGGCUGGCGCAGAGGAAGAAAACUUAAACCUUCUAUUUGUAUUGAAUUUUUAACUCAUCCUUCAAAAAUGCUUACUUUCGUGUAUGC